rnacentral:lncRNA from 1 species
UUUUUAUCUUUGAUCCAAACACCAACACAAAUUUUGCAACAAUAAAAGUGACUUAUAUUAUAGGAAAAACUUCAAAUACCACUCCCGUGAUUUUAUUCUUUCUCACUUUAGUACCAUAUUGUUUAAGAUAUAUCAAUUUAGUACCCUGUGAUUUUAUUUUUAUAUUUGUAUUAUCGAUUCUACUAAUUUUUCGUUAAAUCAAUGAUAAAAUUAAAGCUAAAAUAUACUAAAGUGAAUAUUUGAUAAACCUAAAUGAGGUAUUUGAAAUUUUUUUAUAUAAUUUAACGAAAUAUUAACGGAAAAGCUGACGAAAAAAUAAAAAUGAAACCACAGGACACUAACUUGAUACACAUUAAACCACGGGGCACUAAAGUGAGGAGGUGCAAAACCACAGGGGUGGUAUUUAAAGUU